GCAGGCUGCAACCCGCCUGCGUGAAGUCGGAAUCGCUAGUAAUCGCGGAUCAGCAUGCCGCGGUGAAUACGUUCCCGGGCCUUGUACACACCGCCCGUCACACCAUGGGAGUCAGCAACGCCCGAAGUCAGUGACCUAACCGAAAGGGAGGAGCUGCCGAAGGCGGGGCCGGUAACUGGGGUGAAGUCGUAACAAGGUAUC
rnacentral:rRNA from 1 species